rnacentral:rRNA from 2 species
AGUUGAGCGAUGAAGAUUGGUGCUUGCACCAAUUUGAAGAGCAGCGAACGGGUGAGUAACGCGUGGGGAAUCUGCCUUUGAGCGGGGGACAACAUUUGGAAACGAAUGCUAAUACCGCAUAACAACUUUAAACAUAAGUUUUAAGUUUGAAAGAUGCAAUUGCAUCACUCAAAGAUGAUCCCGCGUUGUAUUAGCUAGUUGGUGAGGUAAAGGCUCACCAAGGCGAUGAUACAUAGCCGACCUGAGAGGGUGAUCGGCCACAUUGGGACUGAGACACGGCCCAAACUCCUACGGGAGGCAGCAGUAGGGAAUCUUCGGCAAUGGACGAAAGUCUGACCGAGCAACGCCGCGUGAGUGAAGAAGGUUUUCGGAUCGUAAAACUCUGUUGGUAGAGAAGAACGUUGGUGAGAGUGGAAAGCUCAUCAAGUGACGGUAACUACCCAGAAAGGGACGGCUAACUACGUGCCAGCAGCCGCGGUAAUACGUAGGUCCCGAGCGUUGUCCGGAUUUAUUGGGCGUAAAGCGAGCGCAGGUGGUUUAUUAAGUCUGGUGUAAAAGGCAGUGGCUCAACCAUUGUAUGCAUUGGAAACUGGUAGACUUGAGUGCAGGAGAGGAGAGUGGAAUUCCAUGUGUAGCGGUGAAAUGCGUAGAUAUAUGGAGGAACACCGGUGGCGAAAGCGGCUCUCUGGCCUGUAACUGACACUGAGGCUCGAAAGCGUGGGGAGCAAACAGGAUUAGAUACCCUGGUAGUCCACGCCGUAAACGAUGAGUGCUAGAUGUAGGGAGCUAUAAGUUCUCUGUAUCGCAGCUAACGCAAUAAGCACUCCGCCUGGGGAGUACGACCGCAAGGUUGAAACUCAAAGGAAUUGACGGGGGCCCGCACAAGCGGUGGAGCAUGUGGUUUAAUUCGAA